AAGAGACAGCAGCAGCCGCGGGAAUACGGAGGGUGCAAGCGUUAAUCGGAAUUACUGGGCGUAAAGCGCACGCAGGCGGUCUGUCAAGUCAGAUGUGAAAUCCCCGGGCUUAACCUGGGAACUGCAUUUGAAACUGGCAGGCUAGAGUCUUGUAGAGGGGGGUAGAAUUCCAGGUGUAGCGGUGAAAUGCGUAGAGAUCUGGAGGAAUACCGAUGGCGAAGGCAGCCCCCUGGGCCAAUACUGACGCUCAUGCGCGAAAGCGUGGGGAGCAAACAGGAUUAGAUACCCCAGUAGUCCCUGUCUCUUAUAC
rnacentral:rRNA from 1 species